rnacentral:rRNA from 1 species
GACGAACGCUGGCGGCGUGCUUAACACAUGCCAGUCGAACGGAAAGGCCCUGCUUUUGUGGGGUGCUCGAGUGGCGAAAGGGUGAGUAACACGUGAGUAACCUGCCCUUGACUUUGGGAUAACUUCAGGAAACUGGGGCUAAUACCGGAUAGGAGCUCCUGCUGCAUGGUGGGGGUUGGAAAGUUUCGGCGGUUGGGGAUUGACUCGCGGCUUAUCAGCUUGUUGGUGGGGUAGUGGCUUACCAAGGCUUUGACGGGUAGCCGGCCUGAGCGGGUGACCGGCCACAUUGGGACUGGGGUACGGCCCAGAGUCCUACGGGAGGCAGCAGUGGGGAAUAUUGCACAAUGGGCUGAAGCCUGAUGCAGCAACGCCGCGUGCGGGAUGACGGCCUUCGGGUUGUAAACCGCUUUCGCCUGUGACGAAGCGUGAGUGACGGUAAUGGGUAAAGAAGCACCGGCUAACUACGUG